CCUGUUACUGGCUCCUUGAGCAGAACAAACAAGACCCACGUGCCCGCCGCUUCCAUGAUCGACAACGGAUACUUUUCUCAUAAAUUGAUUCAAACUUGGAGCAGGAGUUGUAGGUUGAGGAGAUCGAAGAUUAUCUUGAUCGUCUUCAUCUGAUGGUGAAAAAAUACCUAUUCAAAUGUCGAGUUGCAUCAUAUCAAUGACUCUAAAUAAACUCACCAGUUUUAUUUCUUAAUUUCCUGAGUACAAUGGAUCCAUACGCAGUUGCCAUUAUAAUUCCUCCAAUGAUUACAAAAAACGUUACUAUUCUAAUAAUCCAUGACCACACACUGGUACGAUGCUCUCUGGAGUCUUUUAUUGGAGGAGGUAAUUCUGAGCCCAAGCUUGAUAGGGUUGAAAACGCAAAUUCUGUCACAGAUGAUCUGAAAUAAAAAGAAGGAUGGAAAUAUUGUCUAAAUUUUGGUGAGCGUAAAAAACACAUCUGAGAAAAUGUAGCAAAAAAUAUGGCAACUUUAAUAUGGUAACAGCAAAUCUGCUGACAGGGAUC
rnacentral:lncRNA from 1 species